rnacentral:rRNA from 1 species
GUAGUUGAGCAUAUUAAUAAGCGGAGGAAAAUAAACUUACAAGGAUUCCCUUAGUAACGGCAAGCGAAUAGGGAAUAGCCCAGCCUUAGAAUCGGGCAGCUCCGUCGUCCGAAUUGUAGUCUGGAGAAGCGUCCUCAGCGACGGACCAGGCCUAAGUCCCCUGGAAGGGGGCGCCGGAGAGGGUGAGAGCCCCAUCGUGCCCGGAUCCUGUCACACCACGAGGCGAUGUUUAAGAGUCGGGUUGUUUGAUAAUGCAGCCCAAACCGGGCGGUGAAUUCCAUCCAAGUCUAAAUACGGGCGAGAGACCGAUAGCGAACAAGUACCGCGAGGGAAAGAUGAAAAGGACUUUAUAAAGAGAGUCAAAGAGUGCUUAAAAUUGUUGGGAGGGAAGCGAAUGGGGGCCGACGAUGCGCCUCGGUCGGAUGUGGAACAGCGACGAGCCGGUAUGUCGAUCGACCUAGGGCAUGGAUCAGCGUGGAUUGGGGGGUGUCCAAAGCCCGGGCUCUCGAUACACUCGUGGAUUGCCAUCUCCUCGAUUGUGGCAGGCAGUGCGCACCUCUGGCGUGCUUCGACAUCUGCGCACUCCGGACGCUGGCCUGUGGGCUCCCUAUUCAACCCGUCUUGAAACACGGACCAAGGAGUCUGCCAUUGUGCGAGUCAACGGGCGAGUAAACCCAUAAAGCACAAGGAAGCUGAUUGGUGGGAUCCCCUCGAGGGGUGCACCGCUGACCGACCUUGAUCUACUGAGAAGGGUUCGAGUGUGAGCAUACCUGUCGGGACCCGAAAGAUGGUGAACUAUGCCUGAGAGGGGCGAAGCCAGAGAAAAUUCUGGUGGAGGCCCGCAGCGAUACUGAUGUGUAAAUAGUUCGUCUGACUUGGGUACAGGGGCGAAAGACUAAUCGAAACGUCUAGUAGCUGGUUCCCUCCGAAGUUUCCCUCAGGAUAGUUGGAGCUCGCGUGCGAGUUUUAUGGGGUAAAGCCAAUAAUUAGAGGUCUCGGGGACGCAACGCCCUCAAACUAUUCUCAAACUUUGAAUAGGUAGGACGACGCGACUGCUUUGUUGAUCUGUGCCACGAAAUCAGGAGCUCUGAGUGGGCCAUUUUUGGUAAGCAGAACUGGCGAUGGGGGAUGAAUCGAAAGUCGGGUUACGGUGCCAAAAUGCGCGCUAACCUAGAUCCCAUAAAGGGUGUUGGUAGAUUAAGACAGCAGGACGGUGGUCAUGGAAGUCAAAAUCUACUAAGGAGUGUGUAAAAACUCACCUGCCGAAUCAACUAUCCUCGAAAAUGGAUGGAGCAAAAGCGCACGACCUACACCCGGCCGUCGGGGUAAGUCCCAGGCCCCGAUGAGUAGGAGGGCAUGGCGGUCGCUGCAAAACCUUGGGCAUGAGCCCGGGCGGAGCGGCCGUCGGUGUAGAUCUUAGUGGUAGUAGCAAAUAUUCAAAUGACAACUUUGAAGGCCGAAGAAGGGAAAGGUUCCAUGUGAACGACACUUGCACAUGGGUUAGUCGAUCCUAAUGGUCACGGAAACCCCGACAGAUAGCGCGUUUCGCGCGUGCUCCGAAAGGGAAUCGGGUUAAAAUUCCUGAACCGGGACGUGGCGGUCGACGGCAACGUUAGGAAGUCCGGAGACGUCGGCGGGAGCCUCGGGAAGAGUUAUCUUUUCUGUUUAACAGCCUGCCCACCCUGGAAUCGGCUCAGCCGGAGGUAGGGUCCAGCGGCUGGAAGAGCACCGCACGUCGCGUGGUGUCCGGUGCGCUCCCGGCGGCCCUUGAAAAUCCGGAGGACCGAAUGCCGUCCACGCCCGGUCGUACUCAUAACCGCAUCAGGUCUCCAAGGUGAACAACCUCUGGUCGAUGGAACAAUGUAGGCAAGGGAAGUUGGCAAAAUCGAUCCGUAAGUUUGGGAAAAGGAUUGGUUCUGAGGGCUGGGCACGGGGGUCCCAGUCCCAAACUCGUUGGCUGUCGGUAGACUGCUCGAGCUGCUCCCACGGUGAGAGUGGGUCAUCGCGUGCCGGCCGAGGGACGGACUGGGAACGGUUCCUUCGGGGGCCUUCCCCGCGCGUCGAACAGCCAACUCAGAACUGGUACGGACAAGGGGAAUCCGACUGUUUAAUUAAAACAAAGCAUUGCGAUGGUCCCAACGGAUGCUCACGCAAUGUGAUUUAUGCCCAGUGCUCUGAAUGUCAAAGUGAAGAAAUUCGACCAAGCGCGGGUAAACGGCGGGAGUAACUAUGACUCUCUUAAGGUAGACAAAUGCCUCGUCAUCGAAUUUGUGACGCGCCUGAAUGGAUUAACGAGAUUCCUACUAUCCCUGUCUACUACCCAGCGAAACCACAACCAAGGGAAUGGGCUUGUCAGAAACAGCGGGNCCAAGGGAACGGGCUUGGCAGAAUCAGCGGGGAAACAAGACCCUGUUGAGCUUGACUCUAGUCCGACUUUGUGAAAUGACUUGAGAGGUGUAGUAUAACUGGGAGCCGAAAGUCGAAAGUGAAAUACCACUACUUUUAAAGUUAUUUUACUUAUUCCGUGAAUCGGAAGUGGGGCGGCACAUCUGUUAAAAGAUAACGUAGGUGUCCUAAGAUGAGCUCAACACGAACAGAAAUCUCGUGUGGAAGAGAAGGGUAAAAACGCUUUUGAUUCUGAUUUCCAGUACGAAUACAAACCGUGAAAGCGUGGCCUAACGAUCCUUUAGACCUUCGGAAUUCGAAGCUAGAGGUGUCAGAAAAGUUACCACAGGGAUAACUGGCUUGUGGAAGCCAAGCGUUCAUAGCGACGUUGCUUUUUGAUCCUUCGAUGUCGCCUCUUCCUAUCAUUGUGAAGCAGAAUUCACCAUGUGUUGGAUUUUUCACCCACCAAUAGGGAACGUGAGCUGGGUUUAGACUGUCGUGAGACAGGUUAGUUUUAACCUACUGAUGAUAGUGUCGAAAUAGUAAUUCAACCCAGUAUGAGAGGAACCGUUGAUUCACACAAUUGGUCAUCGCGUUUGGUUGAAAAGCCAGUGGCGCGAAGCUACCAUGUGCUGGAUUAUGACUCAAAGCCUCUAAGUCAGAAUCUGGGCUAGAAGUGAUACAUGUGCCCGCCUUCUGCUUGCCGACCCGCAGUAGGGGCCUCGGCCCCCAAGGGAACGUGUCGUUGGCUAAGCCGCAGCAGCGGAAGGGUCGCGGCGGCCGCCAUGAAGUACAACUUCCAUCG